CUGCAACUUUUUGAGAGGAAUUCUCUCCCUCUUCCUCCAGAUCAGCAAAGGCAGUGUCUUGCAAACUCUACAAGGUCAUAUAUAUGCUUCUCCUGGGAGAAAUACAUACAGGAACUUGAAUCAGACUCAGCGCUCUCAAAGAUCCUUAAGACACGAACAGAUUUGUCCAGGGAACAAGUGGCAACAAUGGGUCUUCGAAUACAGACGUCCAGACCCGUGAUUGAAGCAGAAUGUAAUGGGAAAUGUAGAUAUUCAAAAUGACUUGAUUCUUCCUGAGAAAAAUGAUAACAUUAAAAAAAAAAAACAAACAAAUGUUUCCCUGUGGGCAGUAAAUCAGGAUCUGACAUGUAAUGAAGAUGUGACCUUCCAGGCCCAGAAUGUAAAGGCUUGACCAGAUCAGAGUAAAAUGCCCUUAUCCUGAUACCACAACUUCCUUCUCGUUGGUCUUCUCAAACAGAAGAACCACUCCUGGGCUAGAUGAACAUGCAAAGCCUUUGGAAUAAGCUACAACUGCAGAUAUUUGAGGCAGAGAAUCCUGUAAUGAACCACUGUCUUCAGAGGUUGGUUCACCAGAGACAUCAGAACAACUGCAAGCAAGAAAUGUAUAAAGUCUUCAGAAUAAAAGAGACAAAACAAAAAUGUUUAUUAGCAGCAUCAAAAAUGUUAUAACCUAUUCAUGAACUGGACAAGAAAGAAGUGAAUGGCCUGCAACAAGUCUUCAUGCACAAGUAUUCUGCAAAGAUUUACCUCUCAUAAUGCUUUGCUCGUGUACCUUCUUCCAGUUCCUUGGGUGGUUUUCUGUAUUCUACAUCUCUCUGCCAGAGCAGCUCUCCAGUUUCA